GCUUAACACAUGCAAGUCGAGCGGUAACACUUAGGGUGACGAGCGGCGGACGGGUGAGUAACACGUAGGUAAUCUACCUUAAGGAUGGGGACAACCCAAGGAAACUUGGGCUAAUACCCAAUAUGGCUUCGGCUGAAAACUCCGGUGCCUUAAGAGGAGCCUGCGUCCUAUUAGCUAGAUGGUGGGGUAACGGCCUACCAUGGCAACGAUAGGUAGCUGGUUUGAGAGGAUGAUCAGCCACACUGGGACUGAGACACGGCCCAGACUCCUACGGGAGGCAGCAGUGGGGAAUAUUGCACAAUGGGGGAAACCCUGAUGCAGCUACGCCGCGUGUGUGAUUGAAGGCCUUAGGGUUGUAAAGCACUGUUGUAGGGGAAGAAUUUUGACGGUACCCUAUGUA
rnacentral:rRNA from 1 species